rnacentral:tRNA from 2 species
GAUGUCAAGACGGUAGCUACAAGCACCCAAAGACA